UGGGGAAUAUUGCACAAUGGGCGCAAGCCUGAUGCAGCCAUGCCGCGUGUGUGAAGAAGGCCUUCGGGUUGUAAAGCACUUUCAGCGGGGAGGAAGGCGAUAAGGUUAAUAACCUUGUCGAUUGACGUUACCCGCAGAAGAAGCACCGGCUAACUCCGUGCCAGCAGCCGCGGUAAUACGGAGGGUGCAAGCGUUAAUCGGAAUUACUGGGCGUAAAGCGCACGCAGGCGGUCUGUCAAGUCGGAUGUGAAAUCCCCGGGCUAAAGCUGGGAACUGCAUGCGAAACUGGCAGGCUAGAGUCUGGGAGAGGGGGGUAGAAUUCCAGGUGUAGCGGUGAAAUGCGUAGAGAUCUGGAGGAAUACCGGUAGCGAAGGCGGCCCCCUGGACAAAGACUGACGCUCAGGUGCGAAAGCGUAGGGAGCAAACAGG
rnacentral:rRNA from 1 species